CGAACACUUGUAAAACUUCUUCCUGUGACUUGGGCAAUGAUGGUGUGGAUUUUCGUCUUGCAGCAUAGAUAUUUCUUCGAACGCAAGAAAUGUCUUUCGUCGUCAGCGGUAAAUUGCUGAAAUUUUCCUUCCUCAAUUCCUUGUGGACAAUCUUUAAAGGUCUUCACAACAUAUAUCUUCUACAACUUUCCUCUUUGUAGAAUUACUAAAAAUUUGCUGGUCAAGGUGGAUAUCUGGAGCAUAAUUAUGCUCCACCGAUGCUUUUUCAAAAAUAAAGUAAUUUUCAUCACCUUCCUUUGUGUACACUUUUUGUUGACACCC
rnacentral:lncRNA from 1 species